UACGGAGGAUGCGAGCGUUAUCCGGAUUUAUUGGGUUUAAAGGGUGCGUAGGUGGUAGAUUAAGUCAGCGGUGAAAGUUUGUCGCUUAACGAUAAAAUUGCCGUUGAAACUGGUUUACUUGAGUAUAGUUGAAGUAGGCGGAAUGCGUGGUGUAGCGGUGAAAUGCUUAGAUAUCACGCAGAACUCCGAUUGCGAAGGCAGCUUACUAAGUUAUAACUGACACUGAGGCACGAAAGCGUGGGUAUCAAACAGG
rnacentral:rRNA from 1 species